CGAAGAAGCUGGCAGCUGCUAUGGAGC
rnacentral:piRNA from 1 species